rnacentral:siRNA from 1 species
AAAGAAACACCAAACCCUCUGGCU